rnacentral:rRNA from 1 species
AAUAUUGUACAAUGGGGGGAACGCUGAUCCAGCCAUGCCGCGUGUGUGAAGAAGGUCUNCGGAUUNUNAGUCACGUUAUGUUGGGNGGAAGAGUUGUAGGCUAAUACCUUGCAUUUUUCACGUUACCAACCGAAUAAGCACCGACUAACUUCGUCCCAGCAGCCGCGGUAAUACGAAGGGUGCAAGCGUUAAUCGGAAUUACUGGGCGUAAAGCGAGAGGAGGUGGUUCGUUAAGUUGGAAGUGGAAGCCCCGGGCUUAACCUGGGAAUUGCUUUCAAAACUGAAGAGCUAGAGUAAGGUAGAGGGUAGUGGAAUUUCAUGUGUAGCGGUGACAUGCGUAGAUAUAGGAAGGAACAUCAGUGGCGAAGGCGACUACCUGGACUGAUACUGACACUGAGGUGCGAAAGCGUGGGGAGCAAACAGG